GACGAACGCUGGCGGCGUGCCUAAUACAUGCAAGUUGAGCGCUGAAGGUUGGUACUUGUACCAACUGGAUGAGCAGCGAACGGGUGAGUAACGCGUGGGGAAUCUGCCUUUGAGCGGGGGACAACAUUUGGAAACGAAUGCUAAUACCGCAUAAAAACUUUAAACACAAGUUUUAAGUUUGAAAGAUGCAAUUGCAUCACUCAAAGAUGAUCCCGCGUUGUAUUAGUUAGUGGGUGAGGUAAAGGCUAACCAAGGCGAUGAUACAUAGCCGACCUGAGAGGGUGAUCGGCCACAUUGGGACUGAGACACGGCCCAAACUCCUACGGGAGGCAGCAGUAGGGAAUCUUCGGCAAUGGACGAAAGUCUGACCGAGCAACGCCGCGUGAGUGAAGAAGGUUUUCGGAUCGUAAAACUCUGUUGGUAGAGAAGAACGUUGGUGAGAGUGGAAAGCUCAUCAAGUGACGGUAACUACCCAGAAAGGGACGGCUAACUACGUG
rnacentral:rRNA from 1 species